rnacentral:lncRNA from 1 species
AAAAUGCUCACAGAGUCGAGGAAAACACGACAGGGAGAGAGUUCAAAGUGAAAGACAUGUCAUGCAGAGCCGAGUACCCCAUGACUGGCCGUUAAAAGGCACCAAAAUCACCGGCACCCUUCACACGACGGUCCAAACGGCGGUUCUCAUCGAAACCCUAACGGCGUUAGGCGCUGAGGUGCUCGGGCAACAUCUUCUCCACGCAAGACCACGCGGCUUCGGCCAUUGCGUGGGUCUCGGCCUCUGUCUUUCCAUAAAAAGGCAUGACUUUGAGCGAGUACUGAUGGUCGACGGAGCGAGCCCUAGACUGGGGGAACGAGUGUGAGCCGGACCUGGUCGUGGACGACGGAGGUGAUGCCACGUUGCUGAUUCAUUUGGGGUGAUGGCUGAAGAAUAGUAUGAGAAGAGCGGGCAAUUGUCCGAUUUGGAAACGACUGAAGAUUGUUUUGGGAUAAUUAGAGAAGGGUUAGCAGUACAUCCAAGAUUAAGGAGAGAUUAGUGAGUGUUUAUGAGGAGACUGCUACUGCUGGCCAAUGGGACUUUGUUCUCUCCUGCUGCUAACAUCAACGAUAACGUCACCAAGAGCAACUGCUGUACGGCCAAGGCGGAUGUACGGUACAGCAGUAAUUCGGGGCGGGAAAAAUAGCAUUUUUCGAUAAAUAAAAGGGGUAUUAAGCGUCACAAAUACUGUUUGCCGCUUUAUGUUAGUUAUGGUGAUGGUAAAGACUAAAUGGAAAACGAACGAUACUAGUCUUUAUGGGGCGGGCAUUAAUGGAGAUGGUGGCAGUGUUGGGACUAUGAGGCUAGUGGUGGUGCUGUAUGGGAGACAGUAGCUAAAGCUUUUAUGAUUGACGAUUGGUUUGUCUCUGAAUUUAUAUAAUUAAUUAAUAAAAUAUGGGUGAAUAAUUAUAGUAAGUAAGAAGGAGUAUUUAAUUUAAAUCUAAUUCCUACAAUCAUCAAUGUAGCUGUAGAAUCUACUUUUGAUUUUGUCAAACAAACAAACGGACGUGUAGUUUUUGUGAUCGGUCCCCACGAAAAUGCUCACAGAGUCGAGGAAAACACGACAGGGAGAGAGUUCAAAGUGAAAGACAUGUCAUGCAGAGCCGAGUACCCCAUGACUGGCCGUUAAAAGGCACCAAAAUCACCGGCACCCUUCACACGACGGUCCAAACGGCGGUUCUCAUCGAAACCCUAACGGCGUUAGGCGCUGAGGUGCUCGGGCAACAUCUUCUCCACGCAAGACCACGCGGCUUCGGCCAUUGCGUGGGUCUCGGCCUCUGUCUUUCCAUAAAAAGGCAUGACUUUGAGCGAGUACUGAUGGUCGACGGAGCGAGCCCUAGACUGGGGGAACGAGUGUGAGCCGGACCUGGUCGUGGACGACGGAGGUGAUGCCACGUUGCUGAUUCAUUUGGGGUGAUGGCUGAAGAAUAGUAUGAGAAGAGCGGGCAAUUGUCCGAUUUGGAAACGACUGAAGAUUGUUUUGGGAUAAUUAGAGAAGGGUUAGCAGUACAUCCA